rnacentral:rRNA from 1 species
CACGUAGGCACCAAGCGUUGUCCGGAUUUAUUGGGCGUAAAGAGCUCGUAGGCGGUUCAGUAAGUCAGGUGUGAAAUCUUUGGGCUUAACCCAAAGCGUGCACUUGAUACUGCUGUGACUUGAGUUCGGUAGGGGAGUUGGGGAAUUCCUAGUGUAGCGGUGAAAUGCGCAGAUAUUAGGAGGAACACCGGUGGCGAAGGCGGAUCUCUGGGCCUUACCUGACGCUGAGGCGCGAAAGCUAGGGGAGCAAACAGG